rnacentral:lncRNA from 1 species
ACUCAUCUAGGAUGAAGAGCCCUUUAAUCCAGACUACGUAGAGGUGGAUAGGAUAUUGGAUGAGUCUCACAGUAUUGACAAGGACAAUGGGGAGCCCGUUAUUUACUACCUGGUGAAAUGGUGCUCUCUGCCCUAUGAGGAUAGCACAUGGGAGCUAAAAGAAGAUGUUGAUGAGGGCAAGAUUCGAGAAUUUAAACGGAUUCAGUCAAGGCACCCAGAACUCAAAAGGGUGAAUCGUCCGCAGGCAAGUGCCUGGAAGAAAUUGGAGCUAUCACAUGAAUAUAAAAACAGAAACCAGCUACGGGAAUAUCAGUUGGAAGGGGUUAAUUGGCUGCUCUUUAAUUGGUAUAACAGGUAAAGGAAAGAAUGGGCCAUAAGAUGUAAGCUUAGUUCUGGGAUUAUUUUUAUUUGUUUUCUAUUGAAACAAUUUCUUCCUACAUACUCUAUUUUUUUUAAAGAUAGUAUCUUUUAACAUUUUUUUUUUCCCAUGGUGAAUCUGCAGGCAGAACUGCAUCCUGGCUGAUGAGAUGGGAUUGGGCAAAACUAUUCAGUCCAUUGCCUUCUUGCAGGAAGUAUAUAAUGUGGGCAUCCAUGGUCCCUUCUUGGUCAUUGCCCCACUGUCCACAAUUACUAACUGGGAGCGAGAAUUUAAUACAUGGACAGAAAUGAACACUAUUGUGUACCAUGGCAGUCUGGCCAGCAGGCAGAUGAUUCAACAGUAUGAAAUGUACUGCA